rnacentral:rRNA from 1 species
AGUGAACGCUGGCGGUAGGCCUAACACAUGCAAGUCGAACGGCAGCACAGUAAGAGCUUGCUCUUACGGGUGGCGAGUGGCGGACGGGUGAGGAAUACAUCGGAAUCUACUUUUUCGUGGGGGAUAACGUAGGGAAACUUACGCUAAUACCUCAUACGACCUACGGGUGAAAGCAGGGGAUCUUCGGACCUUUCGCGAUUGAAUGAGCCGAUGUCGGAUUAGCUAGUUUGCGGGGUAAAGGCCCACCAAGGCGACGAUCCGUAGCUGGUCUGAGAGGAUGAGAGGCCACAAUGGAACUGAGAAACGGUACAGACACAUACGGGAGGCAGCAGUAGGGAAUAUGCGGCAAUGGGAGAAAGACUGACGGAGAAACGCCACGAGAGUGAUGAAGAGAUGCGUAUCGUAAAACUCUGUUAUUAGGGAAGAAAAAAUGUGGAAGUAAAGAUGCACGUCGAGAAGGGACGUAAUCAGAAAGACGAGGAUAACUAAGUG